UACGUAGGGACCGAGCGUUGUCCGGAAUCAUUGGGCGUAAAGAGCGUGUAGGCGGCCACUUAAGUCCUGCGUGAAAUCUUGCGGCUCAACCGCAAGCGGUCGUGGGAAACUGGGUGGCUAGAGUACGGGAGAGGAGAGUGGAAUUCCUGGUGUAGCGGUGGAAUGCGCAGAUAUCAGGAAGAACACCCGUGGCGAAGCGGCUCUCUGGGACGGUACUGACGCUGAGACGCGAAAGCGUGGGGAGCGAACAGG
rnacentral:rRNA from 1 species